rnacentral:rRNA from 1 species
GGGUUGUGAGGUUAAGCGACUAAGCGUACACGGUGGAUGCCCUGGCAGUCAGAGGCGAUGAAGGACGUGCUAAUCUGCGAUAAGCGCCGGUAAGGUGAUAUGAACCGUUAUAACCGGCGAUUUCCGAAUGGGGAAACCCAGUGUGAUUCGUCACACUAUCAUUAACUGAAUCCAUAGGUUAAUGAGGCGAACCGGGGGAACUGAAACAUCUAAGUACCCCGAGGAAAAGAAAUCAACCGAGAUUCCCCCAGUAGCGGCGAGCGAACGGGGAGGAGCCCAGAGCCUGAAUCAGCAUGUGUGUUAGUGGAAGCGUCUGGAAAGGCGCGCGAUACAGGGUGACAGCCCCGUACACAAAAGCGCAUGUGCUGUGAGCUCGAUGAGUAGGGCGGGACACGUGGUAUCCUGUCUGAAUAUGGGGGGACCAUCCUCCAAGGCUAAAUACUCCUGACUGACCGAUAGUGAACCAGUACCGUGAGGGAAAGGCGAAAAGAACCCCGGCGAGGGGAGUGAAAAAGAACCUGAAACCGUGUACGUACAAGCAGUGGGAGCACCCUUCGGGGUGUGACUGCGUACCUUUUGUAUAAUGGGUCAGCGACUUAUAUUCUGUAGCAAGGUUAACCGUAUAGGGGAGCCGGAGGGAAACCGAGUCUUAACCGGGCGUUAAGUUGCAGGGUAUAGACCCGAAACCCGGUGAUCUAGCCAUGGGCAGGUUGAAGGUUGGGUAACACUAACUGGAGGACCGAACCGACUAAUGUUGAAAAAUUAGCGGAUGACCUGUGGCUGGGGGUGAAAGGCCAAUCAAACCGGGAGAUAGCUGGUUCUCCCCGAAAGCUAUUUAGGUAGCGCCUCGUGAAUUCAUCUCCGGGGGUAGAGCACUGUUUCGGCUAGGGGGCCAUCCCGGCUUACCAACCCGAUGCAAACUGCGAAUACCGGAGAAUGUUAUCACGGGAGACACACGGCGGGUGCUAACGUCCGUCGUGAAGAGGGAAACAACCCAGACCGCCAGCUAAGGUCCCAAAGUCAUGGUUAAGUGGGAAACGAUGUGGGAAGGCCCAGACAGCCAGGAUGUUGGCUUAGAAGCAGCCAUCAUUUAAAGAAAGCGUAAUAGCUCACUGGUCGAGUCGGCCUGCGCGGAAGAUGUAACGGGGCUAAACCAUGCACCGAAGCUGCGGCAGCGAACGUAUCACCCAAGACAACUUUACGGAGUUGACGAUUGACGGAGCGAAGCGACGUCAAAGCGUUCAUUAAAGUCGAGUUGGCUUAGGGAUACGUUCGUUGGGUAGGGGAGCGUUCUGUAAGCCUGUGAAGGUGUGUCGUGAGGCAUGCUGGAGGUAUCAGAAGUGCGAAUGCUGACAUAAGUAACGAUAAAGCGGGUGAAAAGCCCGCUCGCCGGAAGACCAAGGGUUCCUGUCCAACGUUAAUCGGGGCAGGGUGAGUCGACCCCUAAGGCGAGGCCGAAAGGCGUAGUCGAUGGGAAACGGGUUAAUAUUCCCGUACUUGGUGUUACUGCGAAGGGGGGACGGAGAAGGCUAUGUUGGCCGGGCGACGGUUGUCCCGGUUUAAGCGUGUAGGUGUGUGUUCCAGGUAAAUCCGGUUCACUUUAACACUGAGGCGUGACGACGAGGCACUACGGUGCUGAAGCAACAAAUGCCCUGCUUCCAGGAAAA